rnacentral:rRNA from 1 species
GACGAACGCUGGCGGCGUGCUUAACACAUGCAAGUCGAACGGAAAGGCCCCCACUUUUUUGGUGGGGGUGCUCGAGUGGCGAACGGGUGAGUAACACGUGGGUGAUCUGCUCUGUACUUCGGGAUAAGCUUGGGAAACUUGCUCUAAUACCGGAUAGGACCAUGGUUUAGUGUCUCAUGGUGGUAAAAUUAUUGUUUUUUUGCAGAAUGAGCUCGCGGCCUAUCAGCUUGUUGGUGGGGUAAUGGCCUACCAAGGCGUCGGCGGGUAGCCGGCCUGAGAGGGUGGACAGCCAGGUUGGGACAGAGAUACGGCCCAGACUCGUACGGGAGACAGCAGUGGGGAAUAUCGCACGAUGGGCGCAAGCCUGAUGCAGCGAGGGCGCGUGGGGAAUGACGGCCGUCGGGUUGUACACUCCUUUCGUUAGGAACGAAGCCGCACCUUUGUUGGGUGUGGUGACGGUACCUUUGUGAAGAAGCACCGGCUAACUACGUG